rnacentral:rRNA from 1 species
GGAUUGAACGCUGGCGGCAGGCCUAACACAUGCAAGUCGAGCGGUAGAGAGGUGCUUGCAUCUCUUGAGAGCGGCGGACGGGUGAGUAAUGCCUAGGAAUCUGCCUAGUGGUGGGGGAUAACGUUCGGAAACGGACGCUAAUACCGCAUACGUCCUACGGGAGAAAGCGGGGGACCUUCGGGCCUCGCGCCAUUAGAUGAGCCUAGGUCGGAUUAGCUAGUUGGUGAGGUAAUGGCUCACCAAGGCGACGAUCCGUAACUGGUCUGAGAGGAUGAUCAGUCACACUGGAACUGAGACACGGUCCAGACUCCUACGGGAGCAGCAGUGGGGAAUAUGGACAAUGGGCGAAAGCCUGAUCCAGCCACGCCGCGUGUGUGAA